rnacentral:rRNA from 1 species
GACGAACCGUGCGAACGUUGUUCGGAAUCACUGGGCUUAAAGGGCGCGUAGGCGGGCUCAAAAGUCAGGGGUGAAAUCCCACGGCUCAACCGUGGAAGUGCCUUUGAUACUGUGAGUCUCGAGGGAGGUAGGGGCGUGCGGAACUUCCGGUGGAGCGGUGAAAUGCGUAGAGAUCAGGAGGAACACCAGUGGCGAAGGCGGCCCUCUGGAUAGACCCUGACGCUGAGGCGCGAAAGCGUGGGGAGCGAACGGG